CUAUCGUUUGGAUAAUUAAGUAUUAUAUAUAUCGAACAGAGUAAUCGAAGGUGUACAUAUGUCCUCGACAUUAGUUACAAUUUGGCCUUUGACGUCAUCCUGGGUCUAAAUAGAAAACGUAUCAACGUUUCUCUUGGAAUGAAACAAGACACGUUUUACAUUCAAUAUCAUUCACGUAACAACCUUUAAAUCGAAUCGGUAUAUCUGUCUACCUGUUUACAGGUAGACUCUGUAUCUGAAUAACUAUGUUACUGUGCCACUGUGCAACAGUGUGAGCAAAUACGUGUAAAUAACGUCAAAACAAAAGAAUAAAUAACGUGUCGAUGAAGAAAAGAACGAAAUUCUAAACAGAUCCAAUUUUCGCGGGAAGGAUUACGCAAGUUACAAAUGCAAAGCUUUGUAAAUCGUAGAUGUUUUGUAAACAGUAUUUCGAGGAAAAAGUUCUAAUUGGAAUGACAA
rnacentral:lncRNA from 1 species